GACGAACGCUGGCGGCGUGCUUAACACAUGCAAGUCGAGCGGAGCGGCGAACGGGUGAGUAACGCGUGAGUAACUGCCCCCCUCUCUGGGAUAACAGUUGGAAACGGCUGCUCAUACCGGAUAGUGGGGGAUGACUCGCGUCCUAUCAGCUUGUUGGUGGGGUAGUGGCCUACCAAGGCGACGACGGGUAGCCGGCCUGCGAGGGCGACCGGCCACAUUGGGCCGAGAUAAGGCCCCAGCUCCUACGGGAGGAAGAAGGGGGGAAGAGUGCAGCAUGGGGGAAACCCGGAUGCAGAAACGCCGCGGGCGGGAUGACGGCCUUCGGGUUGUAAACCGCUGUCAGCCAGGACGCGGUAGUGGCAGAAGAAGCACCGGCUAACUACGUGCCAGGCGCCGCGGGAAUUC
rnacentral:rRNA from 1 species